rnacentral:lncRNA from 1 species
GAAAUACAUGCCUGCCUUUGAGAAAUCAAGGUUCAGUGUGGGCGGAGGCAGAUGGACAUAUGCACAUGAGUCCCUGCCCUGCCCUGCAGCAUAGACUGCAAAGAAGUAGCAUAGUUCUUGAGUUCCUCAUACUAGCAGUGCCCAGCUGCAAACCAUGUAUCCACUCUGACCGUGCUCUUCCACCCCCAGCCCUGGUCUGUGCUACAUUCUACCCCCUCUCCACCAGCCCAGACUUGUUUUUCCCAGGAAGCCUCUUUUUUUUUCCCCCAGAAUCACAUCUCUCUCAGUUCUUAUCAGCACCUCCCCAUUGGUUUGUUUUGAGGACUACAAACAUAAUGUGGCAGCCUAAUGUGUUAGAGUCACCCAGACUUGAAUUUGCAUCUGUGAUCUGCUGUGCCUUCUGUGGCUCUAUGACCUUGGAGGAAGUUACUACACUUCUCUGAACUUCCAUUUCCCCACCUCCAAAAUGGUGGGGCUUACAAUCCCUCCCUCAUAGAGCGGUUGUGCAAAGGAAAUGAGAUAAAAUCGUAAAGUGUCUCUGGUACGAUUUAGACACUUAGCAAUUAACACUUUCUCCUGAUGAUUACUCAGAGAACAGUCUUUGUUGAUGCUGGUGUUUUCCAGGUGAUUGGGAAACCAUUUAAAGUUCUGGAAGAUGUGAUUUGCUCUAAGC